rnacentral:lncRNA from 1 species
GCUUGAAGUGACUUUGAUGGAAUGGAAGGUGGCUGCGUGAAGCUUCAGGCAAGCAAGUUUUGAGGCGUGCCAGUUCCAAGGAGGGUUCAACGGUCUCUGGCUUUGGUCUCUUGGGCAAUGGUUCUUGGGAAUUCGUUCCUAUCAGUUGAAAUUGCAACAACUUUUUAUUAAAUUAAGAUGUAAUUAAUUAGGUUUUUAGGUUAAAUGUAUAUUUGGACUAUUUGUAACCCAUUGGAUUUAAAAUCUGCUUGUGUAAUUACUUUUUUAAGCAUUCAAACCUUAUUUCAAUA